CAGUCGCCGCGGGAAUACGGAGGGUGCGAGCGUUAAUCGGAAUAACUGGGCGUAAAGGGCACGCAGGCGGUGACUUAAGUGAGGUGUGAAAGCCCCGGGCUUAACCUGGGAAUUGCAUUUCAUACUGGGUCGCUAGAGUACUUUAGGGAGGGGUAGAAUUCCACGUGUAGCGGUGAAAAGCGUAGAGAUGUGGAGGAAUACCGAAGGCGAAGGCAGCCCCUUGGGAAUGUACUGACGCUCAUGUGCGAAAGCGUGGAGAGCAAACAGGAUUAGAUACCCCAGUAGUCCCUGUCUCUUAUAC
rnacentral:rRNA from 1 species